rnacentral:rRNA from 1 species
GUACACGCUGUGACUAGCAUAUCAAUAAGCGGAGGAAAAGGUACCUACGCUUAGGAUGUUGAUGAGACUGUCGAUCUCAUCUAUACAUGACUCUGUGCAUAUCAAUAAGCGGAGGAAAAGAGGGCUAUUACCUACGCUUAGGAUGUUGACACACGCGCGUGCUCGACUCUAUACAUGACUCUGUGCAUAUCAAUAAGCGGAGGAAAAGGGCUGCGGAACUGAACGACCGCUACCUACGCUUAGGAUGUUGACGAGACUGUCGAUCUCGUCUAUACAUGACUCUGCGCAUAUCAAUAAGCGGAGGAAAAGUAAUGCUAGUUACCUACGCUUAGGAUGUUGACACACGCGCGUGCUCGAUGAUAGUCUAUACAUGACUCUGCGCAUAUCAAUAAGCGGAGGAAAAGAGGGCUAUUACCUACGCUUAGGAUGUUGAUGAGACUGUCGAUCUCAUCUAUACAUGACUCUGCGUAUAUCAAUAAGCGGAGGAAAAGAGGGCUAUUACCUACGCUUAGGAUGUUGACACACGCGCGUGCUCGACUCUAUACAUGACUCUGCGCAUAUCAAUAAGCGGAGGAAAAGAAACUAACAAGGAUUCCCCUAGUAACGGCGAGUGAAGCGGGAAGAGCUCAAAUUUGAAAUCUUAAAGGGUUUCCCUUUACGAAUUGUAGUUUAAAGAAGUGUUUUCUGUUGAGGUUUUGGUAAAAGUUCUUUGGAAUAGGACAUCAUAGAGGGUGAGAAUCCCGUAUUUGACCUUUACUUUCAACUUUGUGAUACACUUUCAAAGAGUCGGAUUGUUUGGGAAUGCAGUCCAAGAUGGGUGGUAAAUUUCAUCUAAAGCUAAAUAUUGGCGAGAGACCGAUAGCGAACAAGUACCGUGAGGGAAAGAUGAAAGGAACUUUGAAAAGAGAGUUAAACAGUACGUGAAAUUGUCAAAAGGGAAGCGUUUGACACCAGUGUUGUUUUUCUGAAAAUCAAUUAAAGAACUGUUUAUGCUAAGCUGUUUAGACUUUAUCAGCUAUCUGUUUAGUUUUGAGCUCUUCUUUAAUGCACUUUUCAGUUAACAAGUCAACAUCAAUUUCUUUUGCUGUAAAAAAGCUUGAGGAAGGUGGCUUGAGAUUCGUCUUAAGUGUUUAUAGCCUCUUGCCUAUGCAGUCGGAGAGAUUGAGGUCUGCAGCGUAGAUCCUUCGGGGCUAAAUGCAUUUGUGCUAAGUUAUAGCAUUUUAUAGACAACUUGUUGACUAUGAUUUGUCUUGUAGCUUACUCGCUUAUGUUAUUUUACCUACGCUUAGGAUGUUGAAUCUACAGAGCGAGAGU